CAUAUGCACACACACACACACACACACACACACACACACACACACACACACACACAGUGUAUACAGUAUAUACAUUAUACACAUAUAUUUUCUCUCCUGUAGUGAUGAACUGGCUGAAUAAAGUUGCAGAUGUGGGAAAAGGUAUCGCCGGUGGAGUCUGUCGAACAGUCAAUCUCAUCUAAUCCAAAUUGAACAGCGAGGGCUCCACUGAUCCAGACUGGAGAAACCAGGUGAAGCUCACACUCCCUAAAUCCACGGCUGUGUUCCAAAUCACACACCACUAGCUCUACACCACAUGCUGGAACUGAGGAUUAACCCUUUAUACGACUCUGGGAUUUUGUGAUGUGGAUUAUAGCUGCAUUAUAUUAAUAAAUCAUAAAAUUGAUUAGAAAAUAUUUAAUAUCACUUUCUAACCCUUUGGAAAGUAGCCAUAUAGUGAUAUAUAUUGAAUAUUGCACAUUUUCUGCACAGUUCUGUUGUGAUUAAUGAUGAGUAUUAGGAGUCGUGUUGAGCAGUGAAUGCAGCUGCAGCUCCCCCUAGUGUCAGGAUAUUUAACUGCAACUACACUGAGAAAAAAAAACCUUAAAAUAAAGUACAGUAUUAAGAGUGCAGUAUAAACCUGUGUGUGUGUGUGUGUGUGUGUGUGUGUGUGUGUACUCAUUGUUUAUUCAUUUCAGAAGAGAUCACACACUCAUGCAGUGUUAAUGCUAACAUUAGCAGACUGAAGUUUGCAGGACACACAAUUCACAGAGCCAGAAUUAUUUUUUUCUCAACAGCGUACCGCACCGACAUGAGGAUGAGUUAACAACUGGUAACGACUGGCAAUGAUGUUUUAACAGUUGUUAUUAAAGAAUAUGUAACCUUAAGAAAUAAGAUUAUGUCACUGAAUCACAGGAGGAAAGUUGCAUGAUGGGAAUGUGAGCUGAAUCUCAUCAUCACAUGGUGAGAGUGUGGAGAUUUAAUAAUCAGGUUUAAAUGAUAUUUUAUACUCACUCACGGCUGAUAUGCAAUGUUCCUGAACCUGGAAUUAGAGACGCUCCUGAGCGCUCAUCUCGAAAAUACAGUCGUAUGAGACUCCCCAAACCUCGAAUAUUAAUUACAAACUAAUAUCCUAACUAAGUACGUACGUAAUUUCCACUACAAACGCUAUAACACACAGAGAACCGCAGAACGCGCUCCAGAAUUCACGUCACUGAAGUCUCUACUUCCAGGUCAGGGAUCUGUCGAUCCAAAUCUCACUAACCAAUGACAGUAAACUGCUGUUAAGCCCCGCCCACAAGAGGUUUGUGCCAGAACGGCGAACGUAAACUUGCGGCGUGUAAAUGAAAAUUCUGAAAGUGUAAACGUAAACUCUUUCGCAUUAACGAAAAGGAAGCUUACAAAACUGUUAAUAAAGAACGCCGUUUAUUUGAAGACCAAGUUAAUUUUUUUUUUUUUCAGAGUGUCUUUCUUCA